ensembl:lncRNA
CCAAAUGCUGCCAUCCCAACAUGGGUGGGUGUAGGAGACGGAGAGUGUUUGCCGGUCUUCCUUCCAUCCAGGUCUUUGCGGUGUAGGAGCCCCGGGCGUCUGGUGCGCCCGGGCCCUGCCGCACGCGGCUCUCGCGGGACUCGGGUGGCGAGCGUGCUUCUCCCUCACUGUCCUUGCUCGGCCGUGGACGUGGGCGCCCUGGGCAGCGCGGCUCCCGCUCGCCGCCCGCACAGCAGCAGCAGCAGCAGCAGCAGCAGUUCAGGCUGGCCUCGAACUCAGGGGACUCCCCCUGCCUCAGCCUCCUGAGCGCUGGGAUCACAGGCUGUCCACCCCACGCCAGGCUGGACAGCUCAGUGGCUUUAGUACACACCGAGCCGUCUGCCCACCACCACAAUCGAUGUGAGAAGAUUUUCACCUCUCCAGGGAAGGAGCUGCAUACCCCGGAGGAGCCUGUCACCCUCACCCUCCCCGGCCUGGCCACCAGGGGUCGAUUUCUGUCCCCUCGUCGUGCCUGUCCCCGACUCCUCAGAGAAACGGACCCCCCAGCAGGUGGCCCUGCAUCCACCUGUGACACCAGCGAUGUCCACCAGGCCCACGUCCGCCUCCCUCGCUGGCCCGAGACACAGCCGCUGUGCACCAUGGGGCCGCGUGGAUGGGCUGUGUUCCGCGUCUACCCCCAGCCGGGAGCCAAGUGGGUUUUGUGCAGAGACAAUCUGGGGGCAAUUUGAUGAGCAUGUGCUAUAAAUUCUUGCUAAUUUGCCCAGGCUGGGCUUGAACUUGCAACCCUCCUGCCUCAGCUUCCCGGAGUGCUGAGAUUACAGGUGUGCACUACCACACCUUGCCAUUACUAUUAUUAUUUUUUCAGUCCUGGGGAUGGUAUCCAGGGCCUUGAGUAUGCUGCUCCAGUGCUCUACUGCUGAGCUACAUCCCAGCUUUUUAAUUUAAUUUAAUUUAAUUUUUUAUUUUAUUUUAUUUUGACACAGGAUCUCACUAAGUUGUCCAGGCUGACUUCAAACUUGCAAUCCUCCUGCCUCAGCCUCCCGAGCAGCCAUCCUCCGAGCUGGUUUUCGCAGGACCCUCGACCCCUAGUGUGGUCACUCUGUCCCUUCUCCUGUGGCCGCCUCUCAAGACUUCUCUGGGUGACGGCACCCGUAUCUCCCUCCCUCGGCCGCUGUCCCCACCAAGGUCCCGAGGCUGGCCACGUGCGUCCAACCCCCUUUCAUCUCUGCCCUCGCGCUUGUCAGGCACCCACGUGGCAUUGGCACUGUGGCCCUGGGCCCGGCCUUGGGCUCUCUGAGGUCAACACCACGCACAUCUGGACCUUGAGGACAAGUGGCCCGGGUAAGAUGGCCAGGGCAAGCUGGGGCCAAAGGAGGGGGUGGCAUCAGGCCCAGGCCGGCCAAGGCCUCAGCAAAGUGACUCCCCCUUUCCAAGGACCGCCAACAUCACUAGGACCACAGCAAUCCCUAGUGCAAGGAAUCAAUAAAUGUGUAUUAAUUCAGGAGUUGCUACCUGAUGCCUAAUGCAUGAAUUCGCUAACUGAUGACUUCAAGCAUUCACCGAGUACCCGCCUGGUUGUGAGAGAGGAGAGACCAGCGUCUCCCUCCAGGAACCUGCAGACAGAGUGGGUGACUUGCCAUCGAGAGGGCUGGAGCUCAAGUGUACAGCAGACUAAACACUGAAGGAUUUUUCUGAGGAGUGGGCUUUGGGCUGAGACCCGGGAGAGAAGGAGUCAGCCACAGUGGGACCUAGGGUGAGAGUAUUUUAGAAGUGAGAACAGCAAGUGCAAAGGCCCUGGGGCAAGAGAAAGCUGGGGCUGUCUCAGGAGCAGAGAGAAAGUGAGGAUGAAAAAAAAAAAAUAAAAAUAAAAAUAAAUAAAUAAAAAAGCGAGGACACUGGGGUGGAGGGGGAGAGGGGCCUUGGAUGGCAGCAGGGGCAGCCACACGAUCCAGAAGCUGCCACCAAGGGGUUCAGUCCUUACCACAGCCCUGGGGACAUCGGCACGAAGACUGGAGUCUCAGGAAGGCCCUGGACUAGGGCGGGAGACCAGAGGUCGGAUUCCCUGGAAGCUGACUCUGCUGACACCCUGGGCCCAGCCACGGGAAGUCAGGGGUUGGCCAGGCCUCCGCGCUGGACUGCAGGUUCGAGCCCAGGCUGGGCAGCUGAGCAACUCAGGGAGAUCCUGUCUUAGAAAAAAAAAGCUGGUGUGCAGCGCAGCGCAAAGGCGCGGGGUUAGAACCACGCCGGGUGGUGCCGGGUGAUAAAGCUGAGGCCCGGAGGGCUCUCGGAUAAGGCGCCCCGCUGGGCGAGUGGGCCGCGGGGGCGAGGCAGCAGUGAUCUGCUCCCAGGCGAGGCCGGCAUGGAGGGCGUGGGCACGGGGGUGGGGGGGAGGUGGAGACCCGGUCCAGGCUUUGGGGUCCGGCUGAGCUAGCCAAGGCCUCCUUGGUGUGAGCAACGAGGGCAGUUGGUCCCGGGGCGGCUCCCGCCCAAACCGGCAGGGGCGUGGCCGGGGCCUGACAUGCCUCCACCCUUCGCCAACCCGCACCAACCCCCACGCCCACCCUCUCCUCGCCACGCCCCAGUCAGACCGUUGCCCCGCCCGCUGGUCCUUUCCCCGCC